GACGAACGCUGGCGGCGUGCUUAACACAUGCAAGUCGAACGGAAAGGCCCCUUUGGGGGUACUCGAGUGGCGAACGGGUGUGUAACACGUGAGUAACCUGCCCUUGACUUCGGGAUAACUUCAGGAAACUGGGGCUAAUACCGGAUAGGAAUCCUUGCUGCAUGGUGGGGGUUGGAAAGCUUCGGCGGUUUUGGAUGGACUCGCGGCUUAUCAGCUUGUUGGUGGGGUAGUGGCUUACCAAGGCUUUGACGGGUAGCCGGCCUGAGAGGGCGACCGGCCACAUUGGGACUGAGAUACGGCCCAGACUCCUACGGGAGGCAGCAGUGGGGAAUAUUGCACAAUGGGCGGAAGCCUGAUGCAGCAACGCCGCGUGCGGGAUGACGGCCUUCGGGUUGUAAACCGCUUUCAGCAGGGGCGAAGCUUGUGGUGACGGUACCUGCAGAAGAAGCACCGGCUAACUACGUG
rnacentral:rRNA from 1 species